rnacentral:rRNA from 1 species
AGAAACCUAAUGGGAAUCUCUUAGUAAUGGCGAAUGAAAAGAGAUGUGCUUAGUGUCAAAAUCAGGUUUCCCUGACUUGUAGGCUGUAGGCGCUAUGCCAACUUGGGUGCAGGUGCAAGUCUCUUGGAAUAGAGCACCAGUGAGGGUGAGGGUCCCUUCUGUCAUCUGUCAUCCCUUGUAGACGGUUUGCGUUCUGAGAGUCGUGUUCUUCUGGAAUAGAGCGCCAAGUGGGUGGUACUCUUUGCCUAAGGAGCAUUACAUACUUGAGACCAAUAGUGAACAAGUACCAUGAGGGAAGGAUGAAAAGGACUUUGGAAAGAGGGUUAAGAGGACAUGAAGCUGCUGGAAGGGAAGUGGAUUGGACUUCUGUCUGUGGCAAGAUUGCAGGUUGCACUACUCUCUGAGGAACUGCGACUUGUGUUUCUUGCUACUUAGUGGGAUUCUGUGUGGUGUCCACAAUCUAAGCUUUACUUGGCAAAAACCUGCUGGUUGCUCCAUAGUUUAGCUUUCUGUUGGCACUACAUAAUUCUUCCACUAAAGAGUUCAAUUUUACCCGUCUUGAAACACGGACCAAGGAGUCUAAUGCGUGUGCAAGUGUAAGGGUUUUAAACCUGACAGCAUAACAAACGUGACUGCUGGGAUUCUUGCGCCAGCAACCAACUGAUCACUUAGGAGAUGUUUGUGUAUGAGCAUGCUUGCUAGGACCCGAAAGGUGGUGAACUAUGCCUGAGAAGGGUGACGUCAGGGGAAACUCUGAUGGAAGCUCGUAGCGCUACUGACGUGCAAAUCGUUCGUCUGACUUGGGU